UACGAGGGGGGCAAAUGUUGUUCGGAAUCACUGGGCGUAAAGGGUGCGUAGGCGGUUGGGUAAGUCUGUCGUGAAAUCUCCGAGCCUAACUCGGAAACUGCGUCGGAUACUAUUCAACUCGAGGAAUGGAGGGGAGACUGGAAUUCUCGGUGUAGCAGUGAAAUGCGUAGAUAUCGAGAGGAACACCAGUGGCGAAGGCGGAUCUCUGGGCCUUACCUGACGCUCAGGUGCGAAAGCUAGGGGAGCGAACAGG
rnacentral:rRNA from 1 species